AUGUCUACCUGUACCAAGGCUCUGUCCAUUCAGCCCACAGAGCUCCACUAUGUCUACCUGUACCAAGGCUCUGUCCAUUCAGCCCACAGAGCUCCACUAUGUCUACCUGUACCAAGGCUCUGUCCAUUCAGCCCACAGAGCUCCACUAUGUCUACCUGUACCAAGGCUCAGUCCAUUCAGCCCACAGAGCUCCACUAUGUCUACCUGUACCAAGGCUCUGUCCAUUCAGCCCACAGAGCUCCACUAUGUCUACCUGUACCAAGGCUCUGUCCAUUCAGCCCACAGAGCUCCACUAUGUCUACCUGUACCAAGGCUCUGUCCAUUCAGCCCACAGAGCUCCACUAUGUCUACCUGUACCAAGGCUCUGUCCAUUCAGCCACAAGCCACAGAGCUCCACUAUGUCUACCUGUACCAAGGCUCAGUCCAUUCAGCCCACAGAGCUCCACUAUGUCUACCUGUACCAAGGCUCUGUCCAUUCAGCCCACAGAGCUCCACUAUGUCUACCUGUACCAAGGCUCAGUCCAUUCAGCCCACAGAGCUCCACUAUGUCUACCUGUACCAAGGCUCAGUCCAUUCAGCCCACAGAGCUCCACUAUGUCUACCUGUACCAAGGCUCUGUCCAUUCAGCCCACAGAGCUCCACUAUGUCUACCUGUACCAAGGCUCAGUCCAUUCAGCCCACAGAGCUCCACUAUGUCUACCUGUACCAAGGCUCUGUCCAUUCAGCCCACAGAGCUCCACUAUGUCUACCUGUACCAAGGCUCUGUCCAUUCAGCCCACAGAGCUCCACUAUGUCUACCUGUACCAAGGCUCUGUCCAUUCAGCCCAGAGAGCUCCACUAUGUCUACCUGUACCAAGGCUCUGUCCAUUCAGCCCACAGAGCUCCACUAUGUCUACCUGUACCAAGGCUCAGUCCAUUCAGCCACAAGCCACAGAGCUCCACUAUGUCUACCUGUACCAAGGCUCUGUCCAUUCAGCCCACAGAGCUCCACUAUGUCUACCUGUACCAAGGCUCAGUCCAUUCAGCCCACAGAGCUCCACUAUGUCUACCUGUACCAAGGUUCUAUCCAUUCAGCCCACAGAGCUCCACUAUGUCUACCUGUACCAAGGCUCUGUCCAUUCAGCCACAAGCCACAGAGCUCCACUAUGUCUACCUGUACCAAGGCUCUGUCCAUUCAGCCAGCCACAGAGCUCCACUAUGUCUACCUGUACCAAGGCUCUGUCCAUUCAGCCCACAGAGCUCCACUAUGUCUACCUGUACCAAGGCUCUGUCCAUUCAGCCCACAGAGCUCCACUAUGUCUACCUGUACCAAGGCUCAGUCCAUUCAGCCCACAGAGCUCCACUAUGUCUACCUGUACCAAGGCUCUGUCCAUUCAGCCCACACAGCUCCACUAUGUCUACCUGUACCAAGGCUCUGUCCAUUCAGCCCACAGAGCUCCACUAUGUCUACCUGUACCAAGGCUCAGUCCAUUCAGCCCACAGAGCUCCACUAUGUCUACCUGUACCAAGGCUCUGUCCAUUCAGCCCACAGAGCUCCACUAUGUCUACCUGUACCAAGGCUCAGUCCAUUCAGCCCACAGAGCUCCACUAUGUCUACCUGUACCAAGGCUCUGUCCAUUCAGCCCACAGAGCUCCACUAUGUCUACCUGUACCAAGGCUCAGUCCAUUCAGCUCACAGAGCUCCACUAUGUCUACCUGUACCAAGGUUCUAUCCAUUCAGCCCACAGAGCUCCACUAUGUCUACCUGUACCAAGGCUCAGUCCAUUCAGCCCACAGAGCUCCACUAUGUCUACCUGUACCAAGGCUCAGUCCAUUCAGCGCUGCUUAAUCAUGGGCUUAAUGUGUACAUUUUCCUUUUGUAUUCUUAAUUGCUUAGUCGAGUUUGUUUUUGCUUCAUGCGUUCUUGUCGAUUGUAAGUCUUUUGUAAGAUUGCCUCAGUAA
rnacentral:lncRNA from 8 species